rnacentral:tRNA from 1 species
GGGGCGGUAGCUCAGUUGGUCAGAGCUGCGGACUUUUAAUCCGUAGGCCGUGGAUUCGAGCCCCACCCGCCCCA